UGAGUCCUACGGGGGGCAGCAGUGAGGAAUAUUGGUCAAUGGGCGGGAGCCUGAACCAGCCAAGUCGCGUGAGGGAAGACGGUCCUAUGGAUUGUAAACCUCUUUAGGCGGGGAGCAAUGCCGGGCACGCGUGCCCGGAGGGAGAGUACCCGCAGAAUAAGCAUCGGCUAACUCCGUGCCAGCAGCCGCGGUAAUACGGAGGAUGCGAGCGUUAUCCGGAGUUAUUGGGUUUAAAGGGUGCGUAGGCGGAUUUUUAAGUCAGCGGUAAAAUGGCCGGGCUCAAACCGGGACGGCCGUUGAAACGG
rnacentral:rRNA from 1 species